GACCACGUAGCUCAGUUGGAAGAGCAUUGGGCUAGUAUUCCAAAGGUCGUAGGUUCGAAUCCCACCGUGGCUG
rnacentral:tRNA from 1 species